rnacentral:rRNA from 1 species
AUGAUCAUCAAUGAACGAGGUGAAUGGGAGUCUGAAAUUGACCCUGAAGGUGGCAAUGAUGAAGUGGAAGAGGAGCGAGGUUGGGAAGUAGGAGGAACUAUUUUAUCUCAUGAGGGACUUGAUGGAGAAGCUUUGGUUGUAUGUCGCUCACUUAACGCCGAGGUUGUGAAGGAGGAAAAGGGGCAGCGGCAUAAUCUUUUCCACACCCUUUGCCUUAUCAACUCAAAGAUAUGUCGAGUGAUUGUUGAUAGUGGCAGCUGCAACAAUAUUGCAAGUAUGGAGAUGGUCGAGAAGCUUCAAUUGCAAACAAAACGUCACCCACACCCAUACCGCAUGCAAUGGCUGAAUGAUUGCGGUGCAAUUAAGGUGAUUACCAGCGUGCAAAUACCAUUUUCCGUAGGGAAAUAUCAGGAUGAUGUUGAGUGUGAUGUGGUGCCGAUGCACGCUUGUCACUUGCUUCUUGGGUGA